UGGGGUAUAAUACAGUGGUAGAGUACCUACUUAGCAUGCAUGAGGCCUGGGUUCAAUUCCCAGCACCACAU
rnacentral:tRNA from 1 species